AUGCUCGGUUCUGGAAAUUUCACUGACUCGGGUUUCGGUUCAGUUGUCUAUCAUGUCGACACCAGGUAACGAACUUCCAUUGCUAACCGGGCGAAUCUAUUUUUAUCGUUUUGAGCAUUGAAAUGGCGAGCCCACUUACUACCAACCCACCUUAAGUUAAUGACCUUUGCCAUAUUGCGCGGCUUCUCAACACCAUCAUGCAUCUGAGUCUUGAACACCAUUUUGCAAACCUAGCGGUGGGUCAUCUUGACAAUCAUCAGCCUGACCAUAAGCAUAGCCAGACAGCCCAGGAUGCACCAGCAUAACAGGCCUCGUGCAUCCAAAUUUUGUAAUUAAUCUGGGCCAUAAAGCUUAAAGUGGGCUCCAUCU
rnacentral:lncRNA from 1 species